rnacentral:rRNA from 1 species
UGGAUCCAGACUUUUAUCUGGCUCAGGACGAACGCUGGCGGCGUGCUUAACACACGCAAGUCGAACGGACGAAGCCCCUUCGGGGGCCGAGUUAGUGGCGGACGGGUGAGUAACGCGUGAGCAACCUGCCCAUAAGAGGGGGAUAACAUCGGGAAACCGAUGCUAAUACCGCAUAAGACCACGAUAGCACAUGCUAAUGAGGUCAAAGGAGAAAUCCGCUUAUGGAGGGGCUCGCGUCCCAUUAGGUAGAUGGUGAGGUAACGGCCCACCAUGCCGACGAUGGGUAGCCGGACUGAGAGGUUGAACGGCCACACUGGGACUGAGACACGGCCCAGACUCCUACGGGAGGCAGCAGUGGGGAAUAUUGGGCAAUGGGGGAAACCCUGACCCAGCAACGCCGCGUGAAGGAAGAAGGUUUUCGGAUUGUAAACUUCUGUCCUAAGGGAAGAAAGAAAUGACGGUACCUUAGGAAGAAGCCCCGGCUAACUACGUGCCAGCAGCCGCGGUAAUACGUAGGGGGCAAGCGUUGUCCGGAAUUAUUGGGCGUAAAGGGUGCGUAGGCGGCCGAUCAAGUCGGGUGUGAAAGACCCGUGCUUAACAUGGGGGUUGCACUUGAAACUGGUUGGCUUGAGUAUGGGAGAGGCAAGCGGAAUUCCCGGUGUAGCGGUGAAAUGCGUAGAGAUCGGGAGGAACACCAGUGGCGAAGGCGGCUUGCUGGACCAAAACUGACGCUGAGGCACGAAAGCGUGGGUAGCAAACAGGAUUAGAUACCCUGGUAGUCCACGCCGUAAACGAUGGAUACUAGGUGUAGGGGGUUUAACACCUUCUGUGCCGGAGCAAACGCAAUAAGUAUCCCGCCUGGGGAGUACGAUCGCAAGAUUGCAACUCAAAGGAAUUGACGGA